rnacentral:rRNA from 1 species
CUGAUUCCCAGACCCUCCAAUCGCCGACUAAAACCCUCUAACCGCGACCCCGGGUCAGGCGAGAUUACCCGCUGAGUUUAAGCAUAUCAAUAAGCGGAAGAAAAGAAACUUACAAGGAUUCCCUUAGUAAUGGGGAGCUAAUCGGGAACAACCUAACCUUAGAAUCGGGUGGCUCCAUUGUCCGAAUUGUAUUCUGGAGAAGCGUCCUCAGCGAAGGAUCGGGCCCAUGUCCCUUGGAAGGGGCGUCAGAGGGGGUGACAACCCCGUUGUCCCUGGACCCUGCCACACGACGAGGCGCUGUCUACGAGUUGGGUUGUUUGGGAAUGCAACCCAAAUCGGGCGGUGAAUUUCGUCCUUGGCUAAAUACGGGUGAGAAACCGAUAAUGAACAAGUACCACGAGGAAUCUGAUUGGUGGGAUCCUCCUGAGGGGUGCACCGCCGACCGACCUUGAUCUUCUGAGAAGGGUUCGAGUGUGAGCAUACUUGCUGGGACCCGAAAGAUGGUGAACUAUGCCUGAGCGGGGUGAAGCCAAAGCAUACUCUAGUGGAGGCCCGUUGUGAUACUGACGUGCAAAUCGUUCAUCUGACUUGGGUAUAGGGGCGAAAGACUAAUUGAACCGUCUAGUAGCUAGUUUCGUUCGAAGUUUCUCACAGAAUAACUAGAGCUCAGGUACGAGUUCUAUCGGGUAAAGCCAAUGAUUAGAGGCUUCAUGGGGCAACACCCUGACCUAUUUUAAAACAUUAAAUCAGAAGGACGACGUGACUGCUUCGUUGAGCUGCACCACAGAAUCAAGAGCUCCAAGUGGGCCAUUUUUGGUAAGCUAUACUGGCGAUGAGGGAUGAACCGAAACCCGGCUUAUGGUUCCAAACUGCACUCUAACCAAGAUCCAACAAAGGGUGUUGGUCGAUUAAGACAGUAGAAAGGUGGUCAUGGAAGUCAAAAUCUGCUAAGGAGUGUGUACCAACUCACCUGCAGAGUAAACUAGCCCCGAAAAUGCAUGGGCACUUAAGCGUGCGACCUACACUUAGCCGUCGGGGCAAGUGCCAGACCCCAAUGAGUUGGAGGGAAUGGCGGUCGCUACAAAACCUUGGGCAUGACCAUGUGCGGAGCAGCCGUCAUGUAGAUCUUGGUGGUAGUAGCAAAUAUUCAAAUGAGGACUUUGAAGGCCGAAAAGGGGAUAGGUUCAAUGUGAACGGCACUAGCACAUGGGUUAGUUGAUCCUAUGGGUCAGGGGAACCCUAAUAGAUAGCACAUUUCACGCGUACUCCGAAAGGGAAGCGGGUUAAAAUUCCUUAAUCGGAACAUGACAGUUGACGACAACGUUAGAAAGUCGGCAAACGUCGGUGGGAGCCUCAGGAAGAGUUGUCUUUUCUAUUUAACAGCAUGCCCACCAUGGAAUCGAUUUGCCGGAGUUAGGGUUCAGUGGAUGGAAGAGCACCACACAUCACGUGGUGUCUAGUGCACUCCCGACGACCCUUGAAAAUCCAGAGGACCUAAUGUCGUCCACGCUCGAUCGUCCUCAUAACUGCAUCAGGUCUCCAAGGUGAACAACCUCUGGUUGAUGGAACAAUGUAAGCAAGGAAAGUCGGCAAAAUGGAUCCGUAACUUCGUGAAAAGAAUUGGCUCUGAGGGUUUGGCAUGGGGGUCCUAGUACCGAACCCACUGGCUGUCCAUGAACUGCAUGAGCUGAACCCACAGAAAUAAUGGGUCGCCGUGUGCCGGCCGGGGGACGGACUGGGAACAGUUCCUUUGGGGGCCUUCCCCGGGAGUCAAAUUGCCAACUCAGAACUAGUACGGACAAGGGGAAUUUGACUAUUUAAUUAAAACAAAGCAUUGCGAUGGUCCCAACGGAUGUUUACGCAAUGUGAUUUUUGUCCAGUGCUCUGAAUGUCAAAGUGAAGAAAUUCAACCAUGCGGAGGUAAACGGCCGGAGUAAAUAAGUCUCUCUUAAGGUAGCCAAAUGCCUCUUCAUCUAAUUAGUGAAGCGUAUGAAUGUAUUAAUAAGAUUCCCACUGUCCCUGUCUAAUAUAAAGUGAAACCACAGCCAAGGGAACAGGCUUGGCAGAAUCAGCGGGGAAAGAAGACCCUAUUGAGCUUGAGUCUAGUCCGACUUUGUGAAAUGACUUGAUAGGUAUAGUAUAAGUGGGAUUCGAAAGGCGAAAGUGAAAUACCACUACUUUUAACAUUAUUUUACUAUUCCGUGAAUCAGAAGUGGGGGACUACCCUUAUUUUUGGACCCAAGGCUCGCUUCGCGGGCCGAUCCGUGGGGAAAACAUUGUCAGGUGGGGAGUUUAGCUGGGGCGGCACAUCUGUUAAAACAUAACACAGGUGUCCUAAGAUGAGCUCAAUGAGAAUAGAAAAAUUGUGUUAAUCAGAAGGAUAAAAGCUCAUUUGAUUCUGAUUUCCAAUACAAAUAUGAACCGUGAAAGCGUGGCCUAACGAUCAAUUAGACCUUCGUAAUUCUAAGCUAGAGGUGUCAGAAAAGUUACCACAAUGAUAACUAGCUUGUGGCAGCCAAGCUAUAUAGUGAAGUUUAUUUAUGAUCCUUCCAUGUCGGCACUUCCUAUCAUUGUGAAGCAAAAUUCACCAAAUGUUGGAUUCUUCACCCACCAAUAAGGAACGUGAGUUGGGUUUAGACCAUCGUGACACAGGUUAGUUUUACCCUACUGAUGAUAGUGUCGCAAUAGUAAUUUAACCUAGUAAGAGAGGAACCGUUGAUUCACAUAAUUGGACAUCGCGCUUGGUUGAAAAGCCAGUGGCGCGAAGCUACCGUGUGCUGGAUUAUGAAUGAACGCCUCUAAGUCAGAAUCCAGGCAAGAAGCGACGCAUUCGCCCGCCGUCUGCUUGCCGACCCGCAGUAGGCGCCAUUAGCCCCCAAGGGAACAUUUUGUUGGCUAAGUCACCGCGACAGAAGCGUCGCGGUGACUACCUUGAAGUACAAUUUCCAUUGAGCGGUGGGUAGAAUCCUUAGCAGAAGACAUAAAUACGUGACGGGGUAUUGUAAGUGGAAGAGUGGCCUUGUUGCCACGAUCCACUGAGAUACAAUCCUUUGUCACUCCGAUUCCACCUUCCCACCUUC